rnacentral:rRNA from 1 species
UACGAAGGGAGCUAGCGUUGUUCGGAAUCACUGGGCGUAAAGCGCACGUAGGCGGAUGUGUCAGUCAGGGGUGAAAUCCCGGAGCUCAACUCCGGAACUGCCUUUGAGACUGCAUCGCUUGAAUCCGGGAGAGGUGAGUGGAAUUCCGAGUGUAGAGGUGAAAUUCGUAGAUAUUCGGAAGAACACCAGUGGCGAAGGCGGCUCACUGGACCGGUAUUGACGCUGAUGUGCGAAAGCGUGGGGAGCAAACAGG